CAGCUCUUCCUUUGCAGUAGUUUUCACAUUUCUUUGGAAGAGUCCAGCAGCUCAUAAGUAAGGUGAACGCCAUGGAAAGUCGAAUUAGGCAACCGGAUGUGUCCCAAACCACUGCCAGUAAUAGAUAAGCCACAACUAGAUGAAGAACUAUAAGUCCUAUGAUAUGUCUGAAAGCGAUACUAUGCUGUUUUCUGAUCUUGCGAAGUGGUCCAACUUGAAGGAGUGUUUCCCAUUUCCUGGAAAUCUACUGAGUGCCUCUUUUGGACUGGGGAAAAAAAUCUCAACUCGAAUGCCUUACCUAAUCUGAAUUCCGAAAACCCAAUGGGGACUCCUGAAGGAAAAAAACCCCGCUUAUGCCCCACAUUUCCUUUCCUGAAGUCGUUUACCUAACUUAUGGCAAACAGAUACAAACAAACAAAAACACAGCAAAAAUGAAAGGAAAAUGCCAACAACGGAAAAUUCGAUUUAGCAUCCCCCAGAAAAUAAAUAUAAAACCAAACACUUUACAGGGCAGUGAAAAAUAUUCAACGCAUUAGGGCAAAUCCGGGCUAAAAUAUGCAAUGGCCAAUGGCCGCCGCAGGUAAAAAUGACAGCCGAAAAAAAUCAGUAGCAAAAAUAACAAGAACAAAAAACUGUCAGGCAUUGACCGAAAAUUAUGCAUAAAAUUGCCUGGGGCUACGGGAAAAUAACCAACGAAAAAAUUGGAGCAAACAAAGAUAAGUUCCGCCGUCUGUUGGUUUGGGCUUGCCUUGAGUUCCAGCUCCGGAUCCGGAUACGCCUUCGACCCCCGGCGCCCCUCUCCCAAUUUGCCGCGGGCCCAUUAAAUGACGGAACCAAGAGACACGGGCACUGCACAAAAAAUGUCCUUUGAUUAAUCAAAAAAUUUACCACGGCCAGUGGAAUGGGAUAAAACAACAACAGCAAAAGCGAGGGCAGAAAAAAAGAAAACCCAACAAAUUGCCAAAGAGGCGCCGCCGGUGCUCGGAGGGAUCUUUUGAGUCCAGGACGAGGCGCCAAAGCAAAA